AACGAACGCUGGCGGCAUGCCUAACACAUGCAAGUCGAACGAGACCUUCGGGUCUAGUGGCGCACGGGUGCGUAACGCGUGGGAAUCUGCCCUUGGGUUCGGGAAUAACAGUUAGAAAUGACUGCUAAUACCGGAUGAUGUCUUCGGACCAAAGAUUUAUUCGCCCAAGGAUGAGCCCGCGUAAGAUUAGCUAGUUGGUGAGGUAAUGGCUCACCAAGGCGACGAUCUUUAGCUGGUCUGAGAGGAUGAUCAGCCACACUGGGACUGAGACACGGCCCAGACUCCUACGGGAGGGCAGCAGUGGGGAAGUAUUGGACAAUGGGCGAAAGCCUGAUCCAGCAAUGCCGCGUGAGUGAUGAAGGCCUUAGGGUUGUAAAGCUCUUUUACCAGGGAUGAUAAUGACAGUACCUGGAGAAUAAGCUCCGGCUAACUCCGUGCCAGCCGCCGCGGUAAC
rnacentral:rRNA from 1 species